GAUGAAGAACGUAGCGAGAUGCGAUAAGUAGUGUGAAUUGCAGAAUUCAGUGAAUCAUCGAAUCUUUGAACGCACAUUGCGCCCCAUGGUAUUCCGUGGGGCAUGCCUGUUCGAGCGUCAUUUACCCCCUCAAGCUCCGCUUGGUGUUGGGCGUCUGUCCCGCUUCGCGCGCGGACUCGCCCCAAAGGUAUUGGCAGCGGUCGUGCCAGCUUCUCGCGCAGCACAUUGCGCUUCUCGAGGCACCGGUGGGCCCGCGUCCAUCAAGCUCACCCCCCCAGUUUGACCUCGGAUCAGGUAGGGAUACCCGCUGAACUUAAGCAUAUCAAUAAGCGGAGGA
rnacentral:misc_RNA from 1 species